UACGACGGGUCGCUGGUCUGAGAGGACGACCAGCCACACUGGCACUGAGAUACGGGCCAGACUCCUACGGGAGGCAGCAGUGAGGAAUAUUGCGCAAUGGGGGAAACCCUGACGCAGCAACGCCGCGUGUGGGAAGAAGGCCUUCGGGUCGUAAACCACUUUUGCACGGGACGAAAAAGGGAUAUCGAACAAAUAUCCCCGAUGACGGUACCGUGAGAAUAAGCCACGGCUAACUCUGUGCCAGCAGCCGCGGUAAGACAGAGGUGGCAAGCGUUGUUCGGAAUUACUGGGCGUAAAGAGUCUGUAGGUGGUUUGUCAAGUCUUUGGUGAAAGGCCGUAGCUUAACUAUGGGAAUGCCAAAGAGACUGGCAGGCUGGAGGCUGGGAGAGGGAAGCGGAAUUUCUGGUGUAGCGGUGAAAUGCGUAGAUAUCAGAAGGAAGGCCGGUGGCGAAGGCGGCUUCCUGGAACAGUCCUGACACUGAGAGACGAAAGCGUGGGGAGCAAACAGGAUUAGAU
rnacentral:rRNA from 1 species